rnacentral:tRNA from 1 species
GUCCCCAUCGUCUAGCGGUUAGGACGUCGGCCUUUCAAGCCGAUAACACGGGUUCGAUCCCCGUUGGGGACACCA